rnacentral:pre_miRNA from 14 species
UCUCUACUUUAACAUGGAGGCACUUGCUGUGCCAUGAUAAAAAUAAGUGCUUCCAUGUUUGAGUGUGG